GCUCAAUUAUGUUAGGGAAGACAAAUUCUUCCUCUUUCUUGGUUACUCUAAGAACUGUUGAGUAUACUGGUUGAUUGUUGCUAGUAAUGGACUUCAAUAUUCCAUCAUGAUACACAGAGAAGAGAGGCAUGUCCUUGCCAGCUGAAUCAAGUAGACCUAAUGCCACAGGAAUGAACAUGGGUUCUUUAAAUGGUUGACCUGGAGUUGGAGGUACCUCUUGGCUAAACUUCAAGGAGAAAGUACGAGCUUC
rnacentral:misc_RNA from 1 species